GAUGAACGCUGGCGGCGUGCCUAACACAUGCAAGUCGAACGGAGCUAUUUAGGAAACUUCCUUCGGGGAGCGGAAUCUUUAGCUUAGUGGCGGACGGGUGAGUAACGCGUGAGCAAUCUGCCUUUGGAUGGGGGAUAACAGCCGGAAACGGCUGCUAAUACCGCAUAAUGCAACGGGACCGCAUGGUUCUGCUGCCAAAGAUUUAUUGUCCAAAGAUGAGCUCGCGUCUGAUUAGCCAGUUGGCGGGGUAACGGCCCACCAAAGCGACGAUCAGUAGCCGGACUGAGAGGUUGAACGGCCACAUUGGGACUGAGACACGGCCCAG
rnacentral:rRNA from 1 species